AUUGAACGAUGGCGGCAUGCUUUACACAUGCAAGUCGAACGGUAACAGGCCUUCGGGUGCUGACGAGUGGCGAACGGGUGAGUAAUGCAUCGGAACGUACCCAGAGGUGGGGGAUAACGCAGCGAAAGCUGUGCUAAUACCGCAUGUGAUCUGAGGAUGAAAGCGGGGGACCGAGCAGCAAUGUUUGGCCUCGCGCCUUUGGAGCGGCCGAUGUCGGAUUAGCUAGUUGGUGGGGUAAAGGCCUACCAAGGCGACGAUCCGUAGCUGGUCUGAGAGGACGACCAGCCACACUGGGACUGAGACACGGCCCAGACUCCUACGGGAGGCAGCAGUGGGGAAUUUUGGACAAUGGGCGCAAGCCUGAUCCAGCAAUGCCGCGUGCGGGAAGAAGGCCUUCGGGUUGUAAACCGCUUUUGGCAGGAACGAAACGGUGUCCGCUAAUACCGGGCGCUAAUGACGGUACCUGCAGAAUAAGCACCGGCUAACUACGUG
rnacentral:rRNA from 1 species